rnacentral:rRNA from 1 species
UAGGGAAUCUUCGGCAAUGGGCGAAAGUCUGACCGAGCAACGCCGCGUGAGUGAAGAAGGCCUUCGGAUCGUAAAACUCUGUUGGUAGAGAAGAACGUGUAUGGUGAGAGUGUAAAGCUCAUCACAUUGACUGUCUCUACCCACGAAAGGCACGGCUAACUACGUGC